rnacentral:tRNA from 1 species
GGGGCCAUAGCUCAAUUGGUAGAGCACCGCCUUUGCAAGGCGGGGGUUAGGGGUUCGAUUCCCCUUGGCUCCAC